CAUUAUUAUGUGUACAAAUGUUUCUCCUAUCGGCAACCACGCUAGAAUUUUUUUGGCUUCGAGCUAGACACUUUUAAUGAAAAGCUGGUAAGCUUGGUAGCUUAUGCAGAGCAUAUCAUUAAGACCUAUAAAUUUAAACCCCAAUUUUUCUGCGUUGUUUGCGGUUGCUACUAAAAUACCAGAUAACCCUACAAAAGCCAGCCAUGGUGCUAAAAACUUUCCCAAAGCAAUUUGACAUUCAGCGACACGAUGAAAGCCUUCAGUUUACCUGUUAAAAACACGUGCUUAUUGACGUCAAUGAUUGUUUGGCUCAACAGUUUUGGGAAUUUUUUUCCGGUGAGAGAAUUCUUUGUUUAAUGGUUACGCAUCCAGGAAGACACAAACUCUUUGCUGCAACUUAGUCAAGCAAGGAAUCUUAUUUUCAAGAGAAUCACACAUGAUCUGAAAUGGGAAAAUAUAGUAUGGCAAGCAUGAUUGGAUCCGUCCAUAUAUAAUAAAGACGGUGUACGUGCCUGCCUGGUUUAUGGUUUAGGUAGAACCUUGUGGUGCUAUGGUUAGUCUCCCCCUCCCCUCCCCCCUCCCCAAAGCGCUGCUACGCAGGCUAUUCUAUGGUGGGCAUGUGUGACAAGCGGCUUGCUGAAAUGUGAAACUAUAAGCUUAUAUUCUCUCCUCAAUAAAAACUUGUAAGUGCAUCAAUAAAGAUAACAAAACGACAAAUAUAAACCUUAAUGAUACAAUGGCCAAAAUCGUGCGGUUCCAAAUCGAAAAAGAAUCAUGUUGCGAUCUAAUCUAAAAUUGGAACAGAAACUCGCAACGUAAGUAUUGAAAUAAAAGGACAAGAGUAGUGGUCCUGGAAAAUGUACUGACUCAAAGAAAGAUGGGAGAUGGAGUCUCAGUAUAUUAGUAGAAGCUGGGAAUAAUUAUUUGAUAUAAUCUAUUUCUCGGCACGAAACGUUUGAGCAAUUGCUUCUARCCAGAGUGUUUUUUGAAUCGAUGCUCCUAAUUUCGUUUUUGUAGGAUCUAAAGACACGUGAAUAGUGCAAAGAGCCCAAGAUUGCAGCCGUCACAAGCUUCUUUCUAUAAAUUACUCGUAUUCUGCACCGCUCUAGAACGAUCCACAAUAUUUCAAACAACAAAAGUGACAUAUCUGGUUACAGUUAAUGAUGCUAAAUAUAGUUGCUCACACAUGUGUAGAAACUAAAAGAAUCAAACAAAAUGAAAGCGAGACGAAUGCAAGUUUUAGAUUUUGGCAUCAAAAUAUAAGAUUGGAAUAUGUAACUAGGCUGGAAAUCUGAGCUAAUAUGUAACUCGAAUCAUUUCA